AACAAAGGAAGCAAGGGCACCAGGUGGAUGCCUUGGCUCUCGGAGGCGAUGAAGGACGUGAUAAGCUGCGAAAAGCCGCGGUUAGGCGCAAAUAGCCCUUGACCCGCGGAUCUCCGAAUGGGACAACCCGCCAUCCUGAAGGGAUGGCAUCCCGCAAGUCGGGAGGCCAACGCAGGGAACUGAAACAUCUUAGUACCUGCAGGAAAAGAAAACAACAGUGAUUCCCCCAGUAGUGGCGAGCGAACGGGGAGGAGCCCAAACCCCUCCUGUCUAGGCAGGCGGGGGGUUGUAGGACCACGACAUCGCACGGGUUAUGGCGAGCGGAAGGCGCUGGAAAGCGCCGCCAGAGAGCAUGAAAGCUGCGUACGCGAAGCCAUAUGAGGCGUAGUGGUAUCCUGAGUAGCGCGGGACACGUGAAAUCCUGCGUGAAUCCGCCGGGCCCAUCCGGCAAGGCUAAAUACUCCCGAGAGACCGAUAGUGUACCAGUACCGUGAGGGAAAGGUGAAAAGUACCCCGAACAGGGGAGUGAAAUAGUCCCUGAACCCUGGUGCCUACAAGCGGUCGGAGCACCUGUUUGGUGUGACGGCGUGCCUUUUGCAUAAUGAACCUACGAGUUGACCUUUUCGGCAAGGUUAAGGGGCUUGAGCCCCGCAGCCGAAGCGAAAGCGAGUCUUAAAAGGGCGUUUAGUCGUGAGGGUCAGACGCGAAACCGGGUGAUCUACCCUUGGCCAGGCUGAAGGAUGGGUAACACCAUCUGGAGGGCCGCACCAAUAAGCGUUGAAAAGCUUCUGGAUGAGCUGAGGGUAGGGGUGAAAGGCUAAUCAAACCCGGAGAUAGCUCGUACUCCCCGAAAUGCAUUUAGGUGCAGCCUCGGACAUUACCGGCAUGAGGUAGAGCGACUGAUAAGAUGCGAGGGCUUCACCGCCUAUCAAGUCUUGACAAACUCCGAAUGCGUGCCGGUCAGAGUCCGGGAGUGAGGGCGCGGGUGCUAAGGUCCGCGUCCUAAAGGAGAACAAUCCGGACCGGCAGCUAAGGUCCCGAAAUGGAUGCUGAGUUGGACUAACGAAGUCAGAUUGCAGAGACAGCUAGGAUGUUGGCUUGGAAGCAGCCAUUCAUUUAAAGAGUGCGUAACAGCUCACUAGUCGAGGAAUCCGGCAUGGAUAAUAAUCGGGCAUAAGCAUCCUACCGAAGCUCCGGAACCGUCAUGGUUGGUAGGGGAGCAUUCCACGCCGCGUUGAAGGUAUGCCGUGAGGCUUGCUGGAGCGCGUGGAAACGCAAAUGUAGGUAUAAGUAACGAUAAGGCAGGCGCGAAACCUGCCCGCCGAAAGACUAAGGUUUCCUGAUCAACGCUAAUCGGAUCAGGGUAAGUCGGGUCCUAAGGCACAGCCGAAUGGCGUAGCCGAUGGCAGAACCGGUUAAUAUUCCGGUACUGCCUGCAUGAGCGACGUGGUGACGGAGUCGUGACAGCGCCGCGGGCUGACGGAAUAGCCCGUUUAAGGGUGUAGGAGUCGAGGAGGCCAGGCAAAUCCGGUCUCCGAUCCGAACCUGAAAGUAUGCCAAUCCUUCCGGGGAGCGGCAAUAGCGCGCGUAAGCAUACUCCCGAGAAAACCCGCUAAGCAUAUCAUGCAGGCACCCGUACCGCAAACGGACACACGUAGUCGGGUUGAAUAUACUAAGGCGCUUGAGUGAAUCACGGUUAAGGAACUAGGCAAAUUGACCCUGUAACUUCGGGAUAAAGGGUCCUCACUUAUUUGGUGAGGCGCAGAGAAUCGGUCCAGGCAACUGUUUACCAAAAACACAGGGCUGUGCGAAAUCGAAAGAUGCAGUAUACAGCCUGACACCUGCCCGGUGCCGGAAGGUUAAGAGGAGAGGUCAUCGCAAGAGAAGCCUUGAAUUGAAGCCCCGGUAAACGGCGGCCGUAACUAUAACGGUCCUAAGGUAGCGAAAUUCCUUGUCGGGUAAGUUCCGACCUGCACGAAUGGUGUAAUGAUCUGGACGCUGUCUCAACCGUGAGCUCAGUGAAAUUGUAGUAUCGGUGAAGAUGCCGAUUACCCGCGAUGGGACGAAAAGACCCCGUGAACCUUUACUAUAGCUUAGCAUUGAAUUUGGGCAGCCGGUGUGUAGGAUAGGCCGGAGGCAAUGAUGCCGUGACGCCAGUUACGGAGUAGCCGCCGUUGAAAUACGGCCCUCCUGCUGUUUGAGUUCUAACCCGCGGUGCGGGGACAUUGCUUGGCGGGUAGUUUGACUGGGGUGGUCGCCUCCAAAAGCGUAACGGAGGCUUCUAAAGGUGCCCUCAGGACGAUUGGUAACCGUCCGUAGAGUGUAAUGGCAUAAGGGCGCUUGACUGGGAGACAGACAUGUCGAUCAGGUGGGAAACCAGAGCAUAGUGAUCCGGUGUUUCUGUAUGGAAAGGACAUCGCUCAAAGGAUAAAAGGUACUCCGGGGAUAACAGGCUGAUCCCUCCCAAGAGCUCAUAUCGACGGAGGGGUUUGGCACCUCGAUGUCGGCUCGUCACAUCCUGGGGCUGGAGAAGGUCCCAAGGGUUGGGCUGUUCGCCCAUUAAAGUGGCACGCGAGCUGGGUUCAGAACGUCGUGAGACAGUUCGGUCUCUAUCUAUCGUGGGCGCAUGAAAUUUGCGCGGCUCCGACACUAGUACGAGAGGACCGUGUUGGACCGACCUCUGGUUUGCCGGUUGUGCCGCCAGGCGCAUUGCCGGGUAUCUAAGUCGGGAUCGGAUAAGUGCUGAAAGCAUCUAAGCACGAAGCCGGCCGCAAGAUUAGAUUUCUUUGAGGGCCGUCGUAGACGACGACGUCGAUAGGAUGCAGGUGUAAAGGUGGCGACACCAAAGCCGAGCAUUACUAAUUGCCCCUUCCCUUUGUGUC
rnacentral:rRNA from 1 species